rnacentral:rRNA from 1 species
UACGAAGGGUGCAAACGUUGCUCGGAAUUAUUGGGCGUAAAAGCGCACGUAGGCGGUUUGGAAAGUUCGGAUGUGAAAUCCCUCAGCUCAACUGAGGAAGUGCAUCCGAAAACCUCCAGACUUGAGUACUUAAGAGGAUCGCGGAAUUCCCGGUGUAGAGGUGAAAUUCGUAGAUAUCGGGAGGAACACCAGUGGCGAAGGCGGCGAUCUGGGAAGAUACUGACGCUGAGGUGCGAAAGCGUGGGGAGCAAACAGGG